ACUCCUACGGGAGGCAGCAGUAAGGAAUAUUGCGCAAUGGGCGAAAGCCUGACGCAGCGACGCCGCGUGGGGGAUGAAGGUCUUCGGAUUGUAAACCCCUUUCGGGAGGGAAGAUGGAGCGAGCAAUCGUUCGGACGGUACCUCCAGAAGCAGCCACGGCUAACUUCGUGCCAGCAGCCGCGGUAAUACGAAGGUGGCAAGCGUUGUUCGGAUUUACUGGGCGUACAGGGAGCGUAGGCGGUUCGGUAGCCCUCUGUGAAAUCUCCGGGCCUAACCCGGAAAGUGCAGAGGGGACUGCUUAGCUAGAGGAUGGGAGAGGAGCGCGGAAUUCCCGA
rnacentral:rRNA from 1 species